UACGGGGGGGGCAAGCGUUGUUCGGAAUUACUGGGCGUAAAGGGCUCGUAGGCGGCCAACUAAGUCAGACGUGAAAUCCCUCGGCUUAACCGGGGAACUGCGUCUGAUACUGGAUGGCUUGAGUUUGGGAGAGGGAUGCGGAAUUCCUGGUGUAGCGGUGAAAUGCGCAGAUAUCAGGAGGAACACCGGUGGCGAAGGCGGGUCUCUGGGCCGUAACUGACGCUGAGGAGCGAAAGCGUGGGGAGCGAACAGG
rnacentral:rRNA from 1 species